rnacentral:rRNA from 1 species
CUACGUGCCAGCAGCCGCGGUAAUACGGAAGGUCCAGGCGUUAUCCGGAUUUAUUGGGUUUAAAGGGAGCGUAGGCGGAUUGUUAAGUCAGCGGUUAAAGGGUGUGGCUCAACCAUACAUUGCCGUUGAAACUGGCGAUCUUGAGUGCAGACAGGGAUGCCGGAAUUCGUGGUGUAGCGGUGAAAUGCUUAGAUAUCACGAAGAACUCCGAUCGCGAAGGCAGGUGUCCGGGCUGCAACUGACGCUGAGGCUCGAAAGUGUGGGUAUCAAACAGGAUUAGAUACCCUGGUAGUCCACACAGUAAACGAUGUAUACUCGCGGUUUGCGAUAGGUUGUAAGCCGCCAAGCGAAAGCAUUAAGUAUACCACCUGGGGAGUACGCCGGCAACGGUGAAACUCAAAGGAAUUGACGGGGGCCCGCACAAGCGGAGGAACAUGUGGUUUAAUUCGAUGAUACGCGAGGAACCUUACCCGGGCUUGAACUAACGGUGACGAAUCUAGAGAUAG